rnacentral:rRNA from 1 species
AUUGAACGCUGGCGGCAUGCCUAACACAUGCAAGUCGAACGAGUGGCGGACGGGUGAAUAAUGUCUGGGAAACUGCCUGAUGUAGGGGGAUAACUGCUGUAAACGGUAGCUACUACCGCAUACCAUCAGAUGGGCCCAGGUGGGAUUAGCUAGUUGGUGGGGUAUAGGCUCAACAAGGCGACGAUCCCUAGCUGGUCUGAGAGGAUGACCAGCCACACUGGAACUGAGACACGGUCCAGACUCCUACGGGAGGCAGCAGUGGGGAAUAUUGCACAAUGGGCGCAAGCCUGACGGAGCCAUGCCGCGUGGAUGAAGAAGGCCUUCGGGUUGUAAAGUACUUUUAGCGGGGAGGCGUUACCCGCAGAAGAAGCACCGGCUAACUCCGUGCCAGCAGCCGCGGUAAUUC